rnacentral:tRNA from 1 species
GGGUGUAGUUCAGUGGUAGAGUAUUUACUUAGCAUGUGUGAAGUUCUGGGUUCAAUUCCCAGUACCACA